rnacentral:sRNA from 19 species
AUGGGAACAAUGCCGAAUCCCAAAGGGUACGGAGGAACCGUUUAUGGGGUGAAUCCUUUUGGUAGGGAUAUCCUUGCCCGAACCCGUCAGCUAACUCCGGAGGCAAAAGGAAAGGAGAA